UACGAAGGGAGCUAGCGUUGUUCGGAAUCAUGUACGUGGGCGUAAAGCGCACGUAGGCGGAUGAUGUCAGGUCACGGGUGAAAUCCCGGAGCUCAACUUCCGGAACUGCCUUUGAUACGAGCACGUCUUGGAGUCCGAUAAGAGGUGGGUGGAAUUCCUAGUGUAGAGGUGAAAUUCGUAGAUAUUAGGAAGAACGACCGGUGGCGAAGGCGGCCCACUGGAUCGGUACUGGACGCUGAAGGUGCGAAAGCGUGGGGAGCAAACAGG
rnacentral:rRNA from 1 species